rnacentral:lncRNA from 1 species
CAGUAGGUGUCCUUCUUGAUCCCCUUCUUCAUCUCUCCCUGAUCACCUCCCAGGCAAGCUCGCUGCCAUCCGAACCCAAGAACUGUCUGUAAAGGAACAACAAGUUUUCCCCAAUGAUGCUUGACCUUCACAAUUCAUUUCAAUCUUCAUCUUUGAAAUGUCUGAAAAGGUAGUGGUUCUUAGCAAUAAAAAAAAAAACUGCCCCUGAUGUGGAGAUGAGCAAGAGAAAUGGAGGAGAAGGUGCCAGAUGAGGAGGCCAUGGAUUGAGUGAGUACCUUGUUGGAAGGCCAUCCCUCUGGGCUAGUAAAGAAGAGAGCUUGGGCCAGUGGCUAGUCUUACCAUCUAAGUAAGACAUGAUAUGGGAUUGGGUAGAUGGUGAGAUGU